GAACACUGACUGCUCUUCCAGAGGUCCUGAGUUCAAAUCCCAGCAACCACAUGAUGCCUCACAACUAUCUAUAAUGGGAUCUGAUGCCUUCUCCUGGUUUGCCUGGAAACAUUCAUCAAAGCUGCUGCAAUGCAAUCGUCUAUAUAAACAGUUUAUUUCACUGGCAAGAAGAUAGCUAACAUUCGUUUUCUCCAGAUGCUUCAGAGUUUCCUGUGACUUCAAACUGUUUCUUGCUACCCAUUUGCUUCAGUUGUCUUCAUAGAACACUGGACUUAAAGGAAGGGAAUGUGUAUCACACGUAACCAUAAGGAAGAAGGGUCAUGAUUAAACCUGUUUCUGAUCUGCUACAAGUAUG
ensembl:lncRNA